rnacentral:rRNA from 1 species
AUGGACAGAGAAAGACCGGGUGCUCUGCCUUUGCUGAAGGUGGCAGGGCGUGGAGCUGUUGUGAUGAUCCGAUUGAGGGUCAGUCUCAAGUUCGAACUAUUCUUCUUAAUGUUCGCUGAGUCUACUUCUUUUUCUGCGCCCAAAAUGACUGAGAAAACGGCAGACACUGUGUCUUCUAUCAUAACUGGAUGUUUCUCUCCUAUCUCAUGCCGAUAUAUUGUUGGUUCACAUGUUAUAUUGUUGGUUCUGACAUCUGGAAUAUAUCAUUGCUGGAUGAUUGUUGAUGGGGUGCCGAGACAUGAGCUUGCAGUCAAGCUCAUUUAUUGUCUCGAGAAGUGGGCCUUGGGAGUUGUUAAUUGGCUAAACAUGUACCUUCUGGGAGUUGUUUUAUUUGAUGGUCCGGCUCCUUUCAAGGAAGAACGAUUAAAACGGGAUCAGGACGAUCUUCAAAAGCGCCAACAGGCCAGUAAACUCUGGUAUAAUGAACUGGUCACACAAGUUCCUGAGUCAGCAAUGCCACUCCCAAGGCAAACUGAAGUACCAAGGAGUCAGCUGCUCGAAGGGAAGGAGCUUGGGCUGAUGUGGUCAAUUUGGCAUGGGCACGCGUUCGGUCGGAAUGAGUCAGAUGGGCUUCUGUCUAUUGUUGUUCUUGUGUUUCUUUCUCUUAUCUCAUGGUUGCCUAUUGAAUCGUCACUAUCAGAAGCUGCAAGGCCAGUGUGUCUACCUCUUCCUGAACUGGUAGCUCUUCCUUGUUUCUCUCCGCACCCAACCGCCCGGCAGCGUGAAGGACAGAAGGAGCCCACCGUCGUGUGUCCUCCGCUAGUGCCGAGUGGUGUCAUCGCACCAGCUUGUCGGCUCGGCCGCUGGACAUUGACUGGAGUGCAGGACGCCACAAGGAGACUCCGGAGCGUAUGGUGGCGGGGGUAUAGUUCGUCGGCAAACGUGCGGCCACCACAUGGCUACGAGGUGAUUGGAUGA